GUUGGUUUGGUGGUUUCCCAGAGGGUUUUCUCGGCAUUUCUGACAGACGAUCACCAACCAACGCACGGGCAUAAUACCUAGUAAGUACUAAAUAACUCAAAUAAAUUACAUUUUUUAUUUUAUUUUAUUUUCCCUUAAUGAUUGUUAUCGCUUACGAUUGUCUACUGUCGGUGUAUAUUACUGUAUAUGCCACACAAGCAAAUAUAAAAUACAUUGGUCCAUUUGGGCCGGCCUACCGGGCCAUGGUGGAUCCGGACGGCACCAACCCGUUAUCCCUCCAUCGUUGAGAGGGGAAGGUGAUCGUUGCUCUGUGAAACCAACCUUACGCGGUGCCCUCUGCUCUAGGAACCGUGAAGCAUGAGCCUUUGCCCAAACCCCGUGGCCCAACUCCCAGCUUGAAAUGUUUAUGCUUUGUGCAAGGUAUAUAAAGCGGUAUGUACAACUACUGAUGGUCAAUGUGGGAGUUCUCCCAUGACUUGCUCUUCCCUAUAUGGAAGCUCAAAACUGCGGCCAUAUCUAAAUAAAUUUGUAGUCUUAUAUACUAAUUUUUAAUAUAAGGUUUAUAUUGCUGUGGAGAAACAUUAAAAUAAGAAAAAAAUCGAGAUUCAAAGCU